AUCCUCCUGCCUUGGCCUCCUAAAGUGCUGGGAUUUCAGGUUCAGGGAGCAAGUUUCCGAGGUUGGAAAGAAGUGACUUCACUGUUUAACAAAGAUGAUGAGCAGCAUCUCCUGGAAAGAUGUAAAUCUCCCAAGUCCAAAGGAACUAACUUACGAUUAAAAGAAGAGUUGAAGGCAGAGAAGAAAUCUGGAUUUUGGGACAAUUUGGUUUUAAAACAGAAUAUACAGUCUAAAAAACCAGAUGAAAUUGAAGGUUGG
rnacentral:sRNA from 1 species